rfam:Dipodomys ordii contig_37291, whole genome shotgun sequence.
GGAAAGGUUGCUCAGUGGUUAGAGUACUUGCCUUGUAUGCAUGAAUCCCUGGGUUCGAAUCCUUAGCACCA